UCAGGAUUUGAUUAGCAGUGUCUUAACACACUCAACACUCCAAACAUACAUGAUGCCAGGCUAACUAUUCCCCGAUAUAGUCUUUACUAUCGAUGGCUGAAGAAAGACGUUCACUAGUCUGAAUUCUCUCUGGUGAGAUGAACGGGUCAGACAAUGCCACGCUGCAGGGAUACGACAACAGGCAGCGUGUUCUCUACGGGUUCCAGCUGUACUACACGCCGCUGCUCGUGUUCUACAUGUAUUGUACGUGUUGCAGAUUCUCUCUGGUGAGAUGAACGGGUCAGACAAUGUCACGCUGCAGGGAUACGACAACACGCAGCGUGUUCUCUACGGGUUCCAGCUGUACUACACGCCGCUGCUCGUGUUCUACAUGUAUUGUACGUGUUGCAGAUUCUCUCUGGUGAGAUGAACGGGUCAGACAAUGCCACGCUGCAGGGAUACGACAACACGCAGCGUGUUCUCUACGGGUUCCAGCUGUACUACACGCCGCUGCUCGUGUUCUACAUGUAUUGUACGUGUUGCAGAUUCUCUCUGGUGAGAUG